CGAGAGCGGCCACCGGUCCCCUCACGGCCGGCCGCCAUGUUGGCCGUGGUUGCGGCCGGGCCCGGGCUCCGCUGUGUCCCUCGGUUCCUCCGGGCAGCGGGUGACUGGCGUGUUGAGGCCACCUCGGAGCCCCUCGCAGGUACCUCGGUGCCGCAGGAGUGCGUUUUCCCUGUCAGCAACCGCUCCAAAGACUCGCCCAUUACAUUGCUCUUGCCUCCGGAAGCUGAGACAUUCUACUGAUUUUUUUUUCCUUGUCUAAGACUCCGUCGCCCUUUCCUGGAGAAGGAUGAUCUUGGUGGAAGGAGCCCAGCUUGGUGUGGUCCUCAUUCCUGCUGUUAUUUGUGAAGAGAGAUGGAGAGAAAUACAUUCAGAGGCCCAGAGAUGGUCAUGGAACACGGGCAACAUGUCCAAAGUAAUCCCAUCUGCAGGAGCCUACAAGAAGCCAUUCUUCCUCCUGGAGCCUAAAAAGGAGAACGAUUUCCUUUACCAGGUUUGACAGCAAGAUGUGGGGUCACUAGGGAGAUAGACACAGACAGAUCCAUCAGGGCUGAAGGCAGGAGAACCACAAUUAAUAUUAGGUUGCAAAAACUAACACUCCUCCUUCUCCUCUGCCCUGGGGAUCUGCCGAGCUCUUCCUCUCAUUGUUCCCACUCCUCUCUGGCUGCUGUUCUGCAGGUGGAUAUUUUUCCCUGCUUCUUAUCUCUGUUUUCCCAGAGGUGCUGCCACCAUCAUUAGUGGGCUCAGCCUUGGCCACAAGCAGACCUCUGGCAUUGGCUCUGCUGGACAUGGGGGAAGCUUCCAGCAGCUUCUCACAGAAGCCACCCCUGUAGCCCCUCACUACCAAAAACUGUCCAUGCAAAGGCUGUGCCAUGCCCUGCAGAGGUCCCUUCCAACCCAAAUCUCGUGAUUCCGUGGCACAGCCCAGGCACAUUUCAGCACAGUCAGUACCUGUCAGGUGGCUGUGAUGUCUCAGCCUUUGGAGCCUUUGGAUUCCUCCACUUGCUCUCUGGAGCUCACGUGUGACAUUCUGCCAUUGACAGUGGUAGCACAGAUGAGAGCUGGUGGUGGGAGCAGUGUGUGUAGCAGAGAGGUGAUUCCAUGACCUGUCCUGCUUCCAGGGAAAGCUCAGGGCUGUGUGAGCCUGUGGAGAAUCACAGAAUUGCAGAAUGGUUUGGCUUGGAAAGGACCAUAAAUGUCCCAGUUCCAUGCCUCUAAAGCGUUAAAGCUGCAUGAUUCCAGCCCAAAAUUCCAGUUCAGCCCAGCUGAGCUUUACCCAGAGUACAGCUAUUGAUUUCUCACAGCAGACUCAGAUGAAGUCUCACCUUUCCCUGUUCCCAGCUUUCCAAAGCUGAGGUGUUUGUGUUCACAGGCUGUGCUGCUCACCCGAGGAACUCAGUAGCAAGAGCAACAAAACAGUAAUGGGCUGGAAAAACACAGCAAGGACCCCCGUGGUGAAUCUGCUGGGUCUCCAGACAAGCAAAUUCACACUCUGCAGAGGACACAGCAUUGGCUUCAAGGCUGAACCAGCCCAUUCCCGCAGGGCUUCUGCUGUCCUAAGCCCAUGUCCUUCUGGUUAGACACUCCUCCCCUCCCCCGGGAGUUCUUGGUCAGAAAAAUAUUGCCAUCUGUCAUCAGGAGGUUGCCUGAAUUGUUGGUAACUUAAUAAAUGGAGGAAAGAGUCA